rnacentral:lncRNA from 1 species
UAUACAGUGGUACCUCGGGUUAAGUACUUAAUUCAUUCCGGAGGUCCGUUCUUAACCUGAAACUGUUCUUAACCUGAAGCACCACUUUAGCUAAUGGGGCCUCCUGCUGCUGCUGCCGCACCGCCGGAGCACAAUUUCUGUUCUCAUCCUGAAGCAAAGUUCUUAACCUGAAGCACUAUUUCUGGGUUAGCGGAGUCUGUAAACUGAAGCAUAUGUAACCUGAAGCGUAUGUAACCUGAGGUACCACUGUAUUACAACUUCACACACCUCACUAUUUUCCUUUGUGUGUUGUGGGGAACUCAUUUAUAAAUAAGCAGUGGCUGAAACAAAUUUUCCCACCUAUUUGGAAGUCAGUAAUUACAAAUGGAACCCUGCAACUAAAUGUUACCAUGUUGAAAGUUCAGGCUUUCAGCUACUCCAUUCCACCUUAUUCCAUCCACCAGCCCCAGUCCUUUCCUACUGCCUUCAACAGUCAGUACAGAGCAUGGUAAGUCCUUUCCCCACCCCAUUAUUUAAGGGAUUUUUGAGAUAGAGUGGACCCACUUGUGCCUGGUCCCACCUACACUGAAUUCUUUCAUUUUCAUUGAUCUCUCUGCGGAGCACUCUUUCCACGCCUGGGCACAUUUAAGUGACCUGUCCAGACAACAGCACACAAUUUAUCUACGUUUCUCUGUCUUUCAUUAAAAACUUCCCUGAACUAAGCCUUCAGAUGGUUUGUAACAGUCAAAUAGUAGUUAGUAUCUGUUUGACAUUUGAUGGGAAGGUGUUCCACAGGGUGGGCGCCACUACCAAGAAGGCCCUCUACCUGGGUCCCUGUAGCUUCACAUCUCGCAAUGAGGGAACCACCAGAAGGCCUUCGGAAGUGGACCUCAGUGUCCGGGCUGAACAAUGGGGGUGGAGACGCUCUUUCAGGUAUAUAGGCCAAGGCCGUUUAGGGUUUUAAAGGCCAGCACCAACACUUUGAAUUGUGCUCGGAAACUUAUUGGGAGCUAGUGUAGAUUCUUUAGGACUGGUGUUAUAUGGUCCUGGCGACUGCCAUCAGUCACCAGUCUAGCUGCUGUAUUCUUGAUUAGUUGUAGUUUCCAAGUCACCUUCAAAGGUAGCCCCACAUACAGCGCAUUGCAGGAGUCCAAGCGGGAGAUAACCAGAGCAUGUACUACCCUGGUGAGACAAUGCACAAGCAGGUAGGGUUUCAGCCUGCGUACCAGAUGGAGCUGGUAGACAGUCGUUCUGGAUGCAGAACUAAUCUGUGGACAGCUGUGAUGCAGAACUAAUCUGUGGACAGCCUCCGUGGACAGCUGUGAUUCCAAAAUGACCCCCAAGCUGCGCCCCUGGUCUUUUAGGGCAGGCAUAGCCAAAGUUGGCCCUCCAGCUGUUUUGGGGACUACAACUCCCAUCAUACCUAGAUAACAGGACCAGUGGUCAGGGAUGAUGGGAACUGUAGUCCCAAAACAGCUGGAGGGCCAAGUUUGGCCAUGCCUGCUUUAGGGGCACAGUUACCCCAUUCAGGACCAGGGAGUCCCCCACACCUUCCUGCCCCCUGUCUCUCAGAAACAAUACUUCUAACUUGAUGGAACCAUUCCAUUCUAUUCCCCCUCUCGCCUUUUUGCCAGGGUUUUAUUUUAUCCUUUCUCAAUAUUCUGUGUCAUGGUUAUUACGGGACUGUUUGCAGGGUCUCUCUCCUCCCCUCCUGCACUUCCUACUUGUGUGUACCUCAGGAUUACUGUGAGUCUGCUGGAACUUCUCGUUGCAUUGGUGGUAAGCACAAGAAGACACUCAAUGUUUCUUCUUAAUGUAUAGGUGCUUAUAUGAUGCUUCCACAGUUUUAUAUUUGAAAACUUAAUACAUGUUCUAACGCAUGUAACAUGGUUGCAUUAGUUUUUGUUUAGGCCUCUUGGUUCCUAAAAUUAGGAUCACAAGUUACUCCUACAAAGUUGAAUUCACUCUUAUAUUUGGAGCAAACCUGCUUUAAACAAGGACUAAGGCUUUCAUCGUUCAGUCACUGAUUCCCAGUGGAGAAGAAAUUACACACAUGCUGAAGACCAUCUUUUACAGUUGGUGACUGACAAGUGUAGUUCAUGACACUGGCCCACUAUACCACUCAAUUGAGUCAAUCCAAAUAUGUAUAAUAGUAAUCCGUUACCAAUUAUCCGAGCUGUUUAAACCAUCACAAUAAGUCUGUCUUGGCUAUCUUACUAGUUGCAAGUCUAGAUCUUUGGACGAGAUCUAAAGAGCUGUUUAAACUCAUGCCGUGGGUUUGCAGUAGCCCAGUUAGUUUGAUUUCCCCACUUUGAGUAACUGAUCCCUAUGCCGUACGAAUAAAUCUGCUUCCAAGACUUCCCUCAGUUUCAAAAACAGUUUGCUGUGUGGUGGUGGAAGGGGAGUUAGUGCUCUGCAAAAAAGAAAAGUCUAAAGGUAUUUUUGGCUCACCGAACUGGUUUCACAGUUCUUUGAAGCCUAGCCUGUCUUCAUUUUUUGUUCAUUAUGAACAUUAUAGUGGACAUGUGUUUAUGUGAAU